rnacentral:rRNA from 1 species
UACGUAGGGGGCGAGCGUUGUCCGGAUUUAUUGGGCGUAAAGAGCUCGUAGGCGGUUUGUCGCGUCUUCCGUGAAAACUGGGGGCUUAACUUCCAGCUUGCGGUGGAUACGGGCUGACUGGAGUUCGGUAGGGGAGACUGGAAUUCCUGGUGUAGCGGUGAAAUGCGCAGAUAUCAGGAGGAACACCGAUGGCGAAGGCAGGUCUCUGGGCCGAUACUGACGCUGAGGAGCGAAAGCGUGGGGAGCGAACAGG